rnacentral:rRNA from 1 species
CAGUCGCCACGGGAAUGCGAAGGGGGCUAGCGUUGUUCGGAUUUACUGGGCGUAAAGGGCGCGUAGGCGGACUGAUAAGUCAGGGGUGAAAUCCCAAGGCUCAACCUUGGAACUGCCUUUGAUACUGUUUGUCUUGAGUUCGAGAGAGGUAAGUGGAACUGCGAGUGUAGAGGUGAAAUUCGUAGAUAUUCGCAAGAACACCAGUGGCGAAGGCGGCUUACUGGCUCGAAACUGACGCUGAGGCGCGAAAGCGUGGGGAGCAAACAGGAUUAGAGACCCCAGUAGUCCCUGUCUCUUAUAC